UGGCCGGUUGGGGUGUGGCCGGUUGGGGUGCGGCCGGUUCGGGUCCGGCCGGUUCGGGUCCGGUCUGUUCCGGCCCGGUCUGGUCGG
rnacentral:tRNA from 1 species